rnacentral:rRNA from 1 species
ACAUGCCUACAACAUAGUGUUAAUGCAUCGGAUCCCAUUAGAACUCCGUAGUUAAGUGUGCUCAGGCUAGAGUAGUUCUAGGAUGGGUGACUGCUUGGGAAGUCCUAGUGUUUUACAUGUC